UAAUAGCAUAUUCAUUUGACGUUAGCUGCAGAAGAAGCACCGGCUAAUUCCGUGCCAGCAGCCGCGGUAAUACGGAGGGUGCGAGCGUUAAUCGGAAUUACUGGGCGUAAAGCGCAUGCAGGUGGUUUGUUAAGUCAGAUGUGAAAGCCCGGGGCUCAACCUCGGAAUUGCAUUUGAAACUGACAAACUAGAGUACUGUAGAGGGGGGUAGAAUUUCAGGUGUAGCGGUGAAAUGCGUAGAGAUCUGAAGGAAUACCGGUGGCGAAGGCGGCCCCCUGGACAGAUACUGACACUCAGAUGCGAAAGCGUGGGGAGCAAACAGGAUUAGAUACCCUGGUAGUCCACGCCGUAAACGAUGUCUACUUGGAGGUUGUGGCCUUGAGCCGUGGCUUUCGGAGCUAACGCGUUAAGUAGACCGCCUGGGGAGUACGGUCGCAAGAUUAAAACUCAAAUGAAUUGACGGGGGCCCGCACAAGCGGUGGAGCAUGUGGUUUAAUUCGAUGCAACGCGAAGAACCUUACCUACUCUUGACAUCUACAGAAGCCAGCGGAGACGCAGGUGUGCCUUCGGGAACUGUAAGACAGGUGCUGCAUGGCUGUCGUCAGCUCGUGUUGUGAAAUGUUGGGUUAAGUCCCGCAACGAGCGCAAUCCUUAUCCUUGUUUGCCAGCACUUCGGGUGGGAACUCCAGGGAGACUGCCGGUGAUAAACCGGAGGAAGGUGGGGACGACGUCAAGUCAUCAUGGCCCUUACGAGUAGGGCUACACACGUGCUACAAUGGCGCAUACAGAGGGCGGCCAACUUGCGAAAGUGAGCGAAUCCCAAAAAGUGCGUCGUAGUCCGGAUUGGAGUCUGCAACUCGACUCCAUGAAGUCGGAAUCGCUAGUAAUCGUGGAUCAGAAUGCCACGGUGAAUACGUUCCCGGGCCUUGUACACACCGCCCGUCACACCAUGGGAGUGGGCUGCAAAAGAAGUGGGUAGUUUAACCUUCGGGAGGACGCUCACCACUUUGUGGUUCAUGACUGGGGUGAAGUCGUAACAAGGGAACCG
rnacentral:rRNA from 1 species